UUUAAUAACUGAGUAGUAUUCCACAGAGAAGAUGUACCACAGUUUCUUUAUCUACUUCUCAUUUGACGGGCAUCUGGGAUGUUUCCAUGUCUUUGCUAUUGUAGAUUGUGCUGCUACAGAUACAGGAUUACAGAUCCUUUCAUACAAGAGCUGAUCAUGAGACAAAGAAAUAUUUCACAUCAUGAAUGAGCAGAAAUUCUGUAGAACAAUGAAGACUGCUACUCUGCUGAUGUUCUAGUGGAGCUGUUCCAAGGUGCACCUUGUUCCUGCCCAAGGGGAGACCCUGGGUUGAUGUGAAGAGCGUGACUCUGACCAGACCUACUGAACA